rnacentral:rRNA from 1 species
GAUGAACGCUGGCGGCGUGCCUAAUACAUGCAAGUCGAGCGAACAGACGAGGAGCUUGCUCCUCUGACGUUAGCGGCGGACGGGUGAGUAACACGUGGAUAACCUACCUAUAAGACUGGGAUAACUUCGGGAAACCGGAGCUAAUACCGGAUAACAUGUUGAACCGCAUGGUUCAACAGUGAAAGACGGUCUUGCUGUCACUUAUAGAUGGAUCCGCGCCGCAUUAGCUAGUUGGUAAGGUAACGGGUUACCAAGGCAACGAUGCGUAGCCGACCUGAGAGGGUGAUCGGCCACACUGGAACUGAGACACGGUCCAGACUCCUACGGGAGGCAGCAGUAGGGAAUCUUCCGCAAUGGGCGAAAGCCUGACGGAGCAACGCCGCGUGAGUGAAGAAGGUCUUCGGAUCGUAAAACUCUGUUAUUAGGGAAGAACAAAUGUGUAAGUAACUAUGCACGUCUUGACGGUACCUAAUCAGAAAGCCACGGCUAACUACGUG